ensembl:snoRNA
GGCAGGUGAUGUCCUUUCUCACGAUGGUCUUCAGAGGGCCGGAUCUCUGGUCCCUGCUGAUUGUGCCUUAAGGCGUAGCUGAUGCUGGCCC